rnacentral:rRNA from 1 species
GGUUAAGCGACUAAGCGUACACGGUGGAUGCCCUGGCAGUCAGAGGCGAUGAAGGACGUGCUAAUCUGCGAAAAGCGUCGGUAAGGUGAUAUGAACCGUUAUAACCGGCGAUGUCCGAAUGGGGAAACCCAGUGCAAUUCGUUGCACUAUCGUUAACUGAAUACAUAGGUUAACGAGGCGAACCGGGGGAACUGAAACAUCUAAGUACCCCGAGGAAAAGAAAUCAACCGAGAUUCCCCCAGUAGCGGCGAGCGAACGGGGAGCAGCCCAGAGUCUGAAUCAGCUUGUGUGUUAGUGGAACGGUCUGGAAAGUCCGACGGUACAGGGUGAUAGUCCCGUACACCAAAAUGCACAGGUUGUGAACUCGAAGAGUAGGGCGGGACACGUGGUAUCCUGUCUGAAUAUGGGGGGACCAUCCUCCAAGGCUAAAUACUCCUGACUGACCGAUAGUGAACCAGUACCGUGAGGGAAAGGCGAAAAGAACCCCGGCGAGGGGAGUGAAAAAGAACCUGAAACCGUGUACGUACAAGCAGUGGGAGCACCUUCGGGUGUGACUGCGUACCUUUUGUAUAAUGGGUCAGCGACUUAUAUUCUGUAGCAAGGUUAACCGUAUAGGGGAGCCGCAGGGAAACCGAGUCUUAACUGGGCGUUAAGUUGCAGGGUAUAGACCCGAAACCCGGUGAUCUAGCCAUGGGCAGGUUGAAGGUUGGGUAACACUAACUGGAGGACCGAACCGACUAAUGUUGAAAAAUUAGCGGAUGACUUGUGGCUGGGGGUGAAAGGCCAAUCAAACCGGGAGAUAGCUGGUUCUCCCCGAAAGCUAUUUAGGUAGCGCCUCGUGAACUCAUCUUCGGGGGUAGAGCACUGUUUCGGCUAGGGGGUCAUCCCGACUUACCAACCCGAUGCAAACUACGAAUACCGAAGAAUGUUAUCACGGGAGACACACGGCGGGUGCUAACGUCCGUCGUGAAGAGGGAAACAACCCAGACCGCCAGCUAAGGUCCCAAAGUCAUGGUUAAGUGGGAAACGAUGUGGGAAGGCACAGACAGCCAGGAUGUUGGCUUAGAAGCAGCCAUCAUUUAAAGAAAGCGUAAUAGCUCACUGGUCGAGUCGGCCUGCGCGGAAGAUGUAACGGGGCUAAACCAUGCACCGAAGCUGCGGCAGCGACACGAUGUGUUGUUGGGUAGGGGAGCGUUCUGUAAGCCUGCGAAGGUGACCUGUGAGGGUUGCUGGAGGUAUCAGAAGUGCGAAUGCUGACAUAAGUAACGAUAAAGCGGGUGAAAAGCCCGCUCGCCGGAAGACCAAGGGUUCCUGUCCAACGUUAAUCGGGGCAGGGUGAGUCGACCCCUAAGGCGAGGCCGAAAGGCGUAGUCGAUGGGAAACAGGUUAAUAUUCCUGUACUUGGUGUUACUGCGAAGGGGGGACGGAGAAGGCUAUGUUAGCCGGGCGACGGUUGUCCCGGUUUAAGCAUGUAGGCUGGUUAUCCAGGCAAAUCCGGAUAAUCAAGGCUGAGGUGUGAUGACGAGGCACUACGGUGCUGAAGUAACAAAUGCCCUGCUUCCAGGAAAAGCCUCUAAGCAUCAGGUAACAUCAAAUCGUACCCCAAACCGACACAGGUGGUCAGGUAGAGAAUACCAAGGCGCUUGAGAGAACUCGGGUGAAGGAACUAGGCAAAAUGGUGCCGUAACUUCGGGAGAAGGCACGCUGGUGUGUAGGUGAAGUCCCUGCGGAUGGAGCUGAGACCAGUCGAAGAUACCAGCUGGCUGCAACUGUUUAUUAAAAACACAGCACUGUGCAAACACGAAAGUGGACGUAUACGGUGUGACGCCUGCCCGGUGCCGGAAGGUUAAUUGAUGGGGUUAUCCGUAAGGAGAAGCUCUUGAUCGAAGCCCCGGUAAACGGCGGCCGUAACUAUAACGGUCCUAAGGUAGCGAAAUUCCUUGUCGGGUAAGUUCCGACCUGCACGAAUGGCGUAAUGAUGGCCAGGCUGUCUCCACCCGAGACUCAGUGAAAUUGAACUCGCUGUGAAGAUGCAGUGUACCCGCGGCAAGACGGAAAGACCCCGUGAACCUUUACUAUAGCUUGACACUGAACAUUGAGCCUUGAUGUGUAGGAUAGGUGGGAGGCUUUGAAGCGUGGACGCCAGUCUGCGUGGAGCCAACCUUGAAAUACCACCCUUUAAUGUUUGAUGUUCUAACGUGGGCCCCUAAUCGGGGUUGCGGACAGUGUCUGGUGGGUAGUUUGACUGGGGCGGUCUCCUCCCAAAGCGUAACGGAGGAGCACGAAGGUUAGCUAAUCCUGGUCGGACAUCAGGAGGUUAGUGCAAUGGCAUAAGCUAGCUUGACUGCGAGCGUGACGGCGCGAGCAGGUGCGAAAGCAGGUCAUAGUGAUCCGGUGGUUCUGAAUGGAAGGGCCAUCGCUCAACGGAUAAAAGGUACUCCGGGGAUAACAGGCUGAUACCGCCCAAGAGUUCAUAUCGACGGCGGUGUUUGGCACCUCGAUGUCGGCUCAUCACAUCCUGGGGCUGAAGUAGGUCCCAAGGGUAUGGCUGUUCGCCAUUUAAAGUGGUACGCGAGCUGGGUUUAGAACGUCGUGAGACAGUUCGGUCCCUAUCUGCCGUGGGCGCUGGAGAAUUGAGGGGGGCUGCUCCUAGUACGAGAGGACCGGAGUGGACGCAUCACUGGUGUUCGGGUUGUCAUGCCAAUGGCACUGCCCGGUAGCUAAAUGCGGAAGAGAUAAGUGCUGAAAGCAUCUAAGCACGAAACUUGCCCCGAGAUGAGUUCUCCCUGAGACUAUAAGUCUCCUGAAGGAACGUUGAAGACGACGACGUUGAUAGGCCGGGUGUGUAAGCGCAGCGAUGCGUUGAGCUAACCGGUACUAAUGAACCGUGAGGCUUAACCUU